ACCGAAUCGGUCGAUUCGCGAUUCGAUUCGAUUCAAGAUUCGAAAAAGUGUCAUGGCGAUUCUCGAUUCGAUUCACGAUUUGACAACAUUGGCUGGAACUAUUUCGGCCGACAAGGCUCGUGAGUUCCGCUGCCAUCCGCCCCUUCCAGAUUCUCCGGCCAUAUAUAUAUUAAAUGGAUUUUACUAAUUGUUUAUAUAUAUAUAUAUAUAUAUAUAAUAUAUAUUAUAAUAUUAUAAAGAGAACAUUCUAAUUUGGUGCGAGUUUAAAAGUAAGGUCGGCUUACACUUUUUUUUCUAAAAAUAUCCUUUCAUAUUUUCAAUAAGUGCUGAUAAUUGCCUAAGUGUUAGAAAAAUAAGAAAAAAAUAGAAAAAUCAGUUCUGCACAAAUAUCGCGUGGUCACUCACCGCUAGUACUAUUAUAAAGGAACAUCCUAAUUUGGUAUGAACAAGCAGUCUCACACUUUUUAAAUGCUAAAAUUACCUUCCGUAGCUGCUGAUAACCGCUAGAAGUGGGCCCAGAAGCUACGGUGUCACGAACACAUCAUCUGUGUGUCCGGAUUGAUUCUAUUUCCACCCCUCUUUUCUCAGUACCCCCUCUUAAAUUUUCUUUUAUUUUGUAUAAUUUUUAUUUUCUUAUCAAAUUACCCUUUUAUCCCCACUGCUGCUGACUCCCACUACCAUCAUCCCCAUCCCCAAACAAAUAUAUAUAUAUUUGUGCACUGUUAAUAUAAUACUAUCACUCAAUCAAAUACCACAAUAGAAACCAAAGAACAGACACCAUACCUGAGGCCUUGACGUGAAGGUCAUACAAGAUUGCGUUAUUUAUAUGCCUAUAUUUAUAAAAUGAUGAGAUUGGUUGGUUAAAACUCAAAGAAGAGUUCAGAAUUGCUUCAGAUUUGAAUCUAGUUUUGCUAAAUCCUUGGGGGUGAUCAAUGAUCAAUAUACCUUGUAAUUUUGCAAAAUUUUGAACUCUAGAUGUAAUGUCCGGUAAUUUAUUUUUGGAUUUAGACUAUUUUUGGACUUGGGUCAUAAAUAUCCAUUUAAUUAUAUUGUUGUAUUGGGCCAUGGAUAUAUAUGAUGUUUAUGAUAUAGUUUUGGCCAUGGGCCCUAUGGGUUUUGAAUUAAUUGAUGGGCCAUAUAAGUUUUUGAAAUUAAUUUUUUUUUGUCCCAUUGAAAAACAAGUGGUAGUUAUAAACCAUUGUUAAGUGUGUGGUGAUACCCUAUUAAAUCCUUGAAUCUUCCAACAUACACUUCCCUUUUCUAUCACCACCAUGUGCUUCUUCCAUUCUCCCACUUUAUCCUUUUUCCCUCCUUGGUCCACCAAACACAACAGCGCACCUCUCUCUCCUCCCGCACUUUUUCCUUUUUUCCUUUUUUCCUUUCCCUUUCCUUCUCUGUUCUUCACUGUCAGACGAAAAAGGCUCAAAGGAGCUCCAGACCAAGAAACGACCGUUUUCAGCCACCUUCCUGCGAAUUCGACCUUCGGCCAAAAACAAACUAAAGUUUUCAUAUCUUCGAGCUCUCGAUUUCAACCGAUUGGAAUUCGAUAGGGCCUCCGUUUGGGUCUCCGUUUUUCCAAAAAUUCGUUAUUCUUCAAGAGGUAGUUUGAUAAUUUAGUAAUGCCCUAUUAUCUUUAUUUUUCUUGAAUUUUGAUAUGUGAUUUGUUGUUAGAAUAUAACUUAUAUGAUGUUUGAUUAUUUGGAGAAACCUAUAAAGAUUUGAUAUUUAGGCAAACUUAGUAUAGUUUCAAUAAUGCAUACUAAAGUGUUUGAUGAAGUGUUUGUGAGAACCAAAAAUAAAAUAAAAUAAAUAAAUAAAUAAAUAAUAAACCUACAUGUUAUUGUUUUAAUCCAACUUUUGGUGUUUUAGUUGUUUUGUAGAGACUUUGGCCAUAUUUUGAAGGUUAGGAUGUUGGAUGUUUGUUGUUGUGAUAUUGGUAGAUCUAAUUGUUUACAGUGAAAAUGUUCGAUAAUUGUGAACUUAAUUAUAUAUUGUUCAUUUGAUAUAUAUAUCUAUUAGGUUUUUAAGUAUUGAAUUAUUAUUUAUGGCCUUGAGGCAUGACCAUUCAUAAGCAUCAUUGGUGGCCCUUGGUCGGCUUUUACAUACAUUGGGCGGGAUACAAUGAUAGAAGGUGCUCCCCUAGGGAGGGGUACCAAGGUUGAAAAUUCCGGAUGUGGGUGUGGUUGUGAGGAAAAGGCGGAUGCUCCCUAAUACACAUUCCAACUCAAUCUUACUUCCUGUUAGCUCCCAGCUCCUCGGGAUUUGUUUGAUCUACGCUUCUUGUGUGGGUGACCCAUAUUCCGUGUUGAGAGUGGGGGCAUUGGAUUUGCCCUAUUGCAUUUAGGCCGUUUUUGCUAGUUCAUGGCUGUGGCUCAUCAUUGCACUUCAUUUCAUUUUCAUGACUUUAGAGAUAGUAACGACAUUGUACAAAUGUUAUUCUCUAACCGUCGUGCUUAAUCAAACAAAUAAAACAACUUUCAUUUCAGGUGAAAAGGAUAAGGGCAAGGGCCCGGCUUGACUUGAUAUGUUCGGGUCAUUUUUGAAGAUUUUCUUUCGGACUUAACUUUAUUAGAUGUUUUGUAGUACUUUAAAUGAGAACAUGUAAUUAUUUUGAUAAUUUGGAACCUUAGGAUAGGUUUGAAUUCCAUUUGUUACAUGUAUCUAUUAUUGGGCACGUGUUAGCCCAUUUUAUUUCAAAUGUAUGAAUGAAUUUGUUUGAAAUUAAUGUUAU
rnacentral:lncRNA from 1 species